AACACAAACCCCGGCGCUCAAUGCGUCAAGGAAUUUAAAAUUUGCUCUGAGCGCACCUGCAUGGCACCGGAGACGGUUUUCGUGCGGGUCGUGUUCUGACACAUAAUAUAGAAUGACUCUCGGCAACGGAUAUCUAGGCUCUUGCAUCGAUGAAGAACGUAGCGAAAUGCGAUACUUGGUGUGAAUUGCAGAAUCCCGUGAACCAUCGAGUCUUUGAACGCAAGUUGCGCCCGAUGCCAUUAGGUUGAGGGCACGUCUGCCUGGGUGUCACAUAUCGAAGCCUCUUGCCAAUUUCCUAUUGAUAGGUAUUGUGCAGGGUGAAUGUUGGCCUCCCGUGAGCUCCAUCGUCUCAUGGUUGGUUGAAAAUCGAGACCUUGGUAGGGUGUGCCAUGAUAGAUGGUGGCUGUGUUACGCACGAGACCAGAUCAUGUGCUGCUCUAUCGAAUUUAGCCUCUUUUACCCAUAUGCGUUUCUAAGCGCUCGUGAUGAGACCUCAGGUCAGGCGGGGCUACCCGCUGAAUUUAAGCAUAUCAAUAAGCGGAGGAAAAGAAACUAACAAGGAUUCC
rnacentral:rRNA from 1 species